AUUGAACGCUGGCGGCAUGCUUUACACAUGCAAGUCGAACGGUAACAGGCCGCAAGGUGCUGACGAGUGGCGAACGGGUGAGUAAUGCAUCGGAACGUGCCCAGUCGUGGGGGAUAACUACUCGAAAGAGUAGCUAAUACCGCAUACGAUCUAUGGAUGAAAGCGGGGGACCGUAAGGCCUCGCGCGAUUGGAGCGGCCGAUGUCAGAUUAGGUAGUUGGUGGGGUAAAGGCUCACCAAGCCAACGAUCUGUAGCUGGUCUGAGAGGACGACCAGCCACACUGGGACUGAGACACGGCCCAGACUCCUACGGGAGGCAGCAGUGGGGAAUUUUGGACAAUGGGCGCAAGCCUGAUCCGGCAAUGCCGCGUGCAGGAAGAAGGCCUUCGGGUUGUAAACUGCUUUUGUACGGAACGAAACGGCUCUGGUUAAUACCCGGGGCUAAUGACGGUACCGUAAGAAUAAGCACCGGCUAACUACGUG
rnacentral:rRNA from 1 species